rnacentral:rRNA from 1 species
UAUGGAGCAAGCGUUAUCCGGAUUUACUGGGUGUAAAGGGAGCGCAGGCGGCUUUGCAAGUCUGAUGUGAAAGGCCGGGGCUCAACCCCGGGACUGCAUUGGAAACUGUAAAGCUGGAGUGCCGGAGAGGUAAGCGGAAUUCCUAGUGUAGCGGUGAAAUGCGUAGAUAUUAGGAGGAACACCAGUGGCGAAGGCGGCUUACUGGACGGCAACUGACGCUGAGGCUCGAAAGCGUGGGGAGCAAA